CGACCCCCACCUUAUUCUUCCCUGUACUACAUCCAUGCUCCCACCCGCGGCCGCACUCCCAACCCCCACCUACCCCGCGCCCACCACCACCCACCCAGCCCGUACCCCGCCACCCCCCGGUGCCCCACCAAGCCCCACCACCUCCCUCCGGUUCUAACCAGCACAAUCGACGCUGCACCACCCCACCCAGCUUCUACCCCCGUCGGCGGCGGCGCACCCGCAUCCGGCUUCUUCCCCCGCUGGCGCCGCCCUACCAGCAUCCGGCUUCUUCCAGCGCCGGUGCCGCACCACCCGCAUCCGGCUUCUUCCCUACCGGUGUCGCCGCGCCCGCAUCUGGCUUCUUCCAUCGUCGGCGCCGCCACGCACCCGGCCAUGCGCCACAUGGGGAGCGACCUCCUCAACUCAUGUGCCUACGUCCUCGCACCAUCCCAUGUGUGCCUUACAUGACCACCGCACUGGGCGAACCGCCGCUCCUAUGCCUCCCAUCCCCAGCCCAGAUCCGCCUCCAUGGACGGUUGGAUCCGCCUGAAUGGUGCGUGGCACGGCCACUGCCUAUCCCCCACGCGACCUUCUCCCUCCUCAUGAGCUCAACCCCUUCCCCAAAUUACUCUCUCUGGCAGCCAACCUAUGCGAGGUUGUCUUCUUCUCUGGUAGCCGUCGCACCAGCGACUCGCGGCAUGCAGCUCGCGUGCGCGUGUAGGUGUAGCUCGCGGGCGCAUCGUGUGUAGCUCGCUGGACCAAUCUGGAGGUUCCCCUGGGCCUCCUCUCCCCACUGCAUCGCCCUUCCCCGCGGCCUACUGCAAGCAUGGCGAGUAGAGCAUCAGGAGCCUCAUGGAAAGGUGAAGUGAUGCAGUUCGGCUGGAUGGCUCGUUCCUUAAUUUUGUUGUUGUUGAAAACUACACUUCAUUAGUUCAUUGUAAAAACUGCAGUUCAUUACCACGAUGGUUAGUUUUGUCUUAGUGAAAGCUUAACCCGUAGAAUUAUGUGCAGUUCGACCGGUGGAGAGUGCAGAUAUUGUAUGGGUGUGUGGUUGUGUAAAACUAUCAGUACUUGUGUA